rnacentral:lncRNA from 10 species
GCUUAUUUUCCUGUUACUUGGCCAACCGAGUGUGAGUGAACAGGAGCCCGAGAGCUUAAAUGUGGGAUCUAGAUAAGGUGUCGACUGGGUUGUGGGCGUUUGUCUCCAUGUUAGGGAGAGGCAACUGAGAACGGUGACUUUGGCUUGUUUUGAGAGAGCCUGGGUUUUGACAGCAGGACGGCGAAGGGAGCGCUUGGAGAGGCUGGAAGCUCGACGUCUUAGGGAGCUGCCUGCGGGCACUGGGUUGACGCCAAGAGGUUGUCGGCAAGGGCAGGGCUCUUGCCCUCUGCUGUACCUAGGCUCUGCAACUGGGGGCUGCGAGCCUUCUGCGGCUCUUUGGUUUCAAGGACACAGCGAGCUGCUCAGGACUUUGGGAGCCAACAUCUGUCUGACUGGUGACGUCAGCAGCCCGUGUAAUCCUCUUGUGCUGAAGGCAGAUGCCUUAUUUGUUUGGCUGGAGCGAGCCAUUAAUCCCUAAUUCUGGAUCAGCAAGCGAGGGGGAAAGACCGGACCGCUCCGACCCACCCCCUCCCUACCCCCACCUCCCACCUUAAAGCACCUUAUACCACGGAA